GUGAUUUUGGAGGGCAAGUCUGGUGCCAGCAGCCGCGGUAAUUCCAGCUCCAAUAGCGUAUAUUAAAGUUGUUGCAGUUAAAAGCUCGUAGUUGAAUUUCGGGGUUAGUAGGUUGGUCAUGCCUCUGGUAUGUACUGGUCUCACUGAUUCCUCCUUCCUUAUGAACCGUAAUGCCAUUAAUUUGGUGUUGCGGGGAAUUUGGACUGUUACUUUGAAAAAAUUAGAGUGUUUAAAGCAAGCUAACGCUUGAAUACAUUAGCAUGGAAUAAUGAAAUAGGACGUUCGAUCUUAUUUUGUUGGUUUCUAGGAUUGACGUAAUGAUUAAUAGGGAUAGUUGGGGGCAUUAGUAUUCAAUUGUCAGAGGUGAAAUUCUUGGAUUUAUUGAAGACUAACUACUGCGAAAGCAUUUGCCAAGGAUGUUUUCAUUAAUUAAGAACGAAAGUUAGGGGAUCGAAGACGAUCAGAUACCGUCGUAGUCUUAACCAUAAACUAUGCCGACUAGGGAUCGGAUGAUGUUAAUUUUUUAAUGACUCAUUCGGCGCCUUACGGGAAACAAUCGAAUUCCCG
rnacentral:rRNA from 1 species